UUUUUUUUUUUUUUUCCACUGUACAGCAAGGGGGUCAGGUUAUCCUUACAUGUAUACAUUACAAUUACAGUUUUUCCCCCACCCUUUCUUCUGUUGCAACAUGAGUAUCUAGACAUAGUUCUCAAUGCUAUUCAGCAGGAUCUCCUUGUAAAUCUAUUCUAAGUUGUGUCUGAUAAGCCCAAGCUCCCGAUCCCUCCCCCUCCCUCCCCCUCCCAUCAGGCAACCACAAGUCUCUUCUCCAAGUCCAUGAUUUUCUUUUCUGAGGAGAUGUUCAUUUGUGCUGGAUAUUAGAUUCCAGUUAUAAGUGAUAUCAUAUGGUAUUUGCCUUUGUCUUUCUGGCUCAUUUCACUCAGGAUGAGAUUCUCUAGUUCCAUCCAUGUUGCUGCAAAUGGCAUUAUGUCAUCCUUUUUUAUGGCUGAGUAGUAUUCCAUUGCGUAUAUAUACCACAUCUUCCAAAUCCAAUCAUCUGUCGAUGGACAUUUGGGUUGUUUCCAUGUCCUGGCUAUUGUGAAUAGUGCUGCAAUGAACAUGCGGGUGCACGUGCCUCUUUUAAGUAGAGUUGUGUCCGGAUAGAUGCCCAAGAGUGGGAUUGUGGGGUCAUAUGGAAGUUCUAUGUAUAGAUUUCUAAGGUAUCUCCAAACUGUUCUCCAUAGUGGCUGUACCAGUUUACAUUCCCACCAACAGUGCAGGAGGGUUCCCUUUUCUCCACAGCCCCUCCAGCACUUGUUAUUUGUGGAUUUAUUAAUGAUGGCCAUUCUGACUGGUGUGAGGUGGUAUCUCAUGGUAGUUUUGAUUUGCAUUUCUCUUAUAAUCAGCGAUGUCGAGCAUUUUUUCAUGUGUUUGUUGGCCGUCUGAGAAAACAGGCUUUGAACUGUAUGCACAUCAAUAUCCAGAGCAAAGGAAGCCCUUGCCCAAGCUAAUGUACUCAAACACACACACACACACACACACACACACACCAGAGAACCAGGAUCAAUUGCUAAGGCCAUAAUAGUCUUGAUCUGUUCUUCGUGAAAUGCAAACCUGCACCAUAGCUCAUGGCAACACCAGAUCCUUAACCCUCUGAGCAAGGCCAGGGAUCGAAGCCAAAACCUCAUGGUUCCUAGUUGGAUUCGUUUCCACUGUGCCGUGAUGGGACAGUGAUCAAGAGUCAGUCUUGAUGGGGAAGGAAGAGUCCAUUGCCAGGGUGGGCAGAUCAGUUAUGGAGUCCAGAAUUAGAACUGCAACUGUAAACCCAUUCACUGUCCAGAAUCUCCGGUGUGAGCCAUGGACUCCUGCAUGCCUCUUAGGGUGAAGAUGUCCUCUGAUCCCUGAGAUGUUGCCUCUUCUUGCAUCUAAACCAUUUAAGCUAUUGUUUAAACACAGAUCCUGGGAUCUCACCCCAAAUUCACUGCAUAAGGAUGGAUCUGGAAAUCUGUAUUUUAACACCAAGAGAAUAGCCUAUGAGAAGGAAUAUAAUGCAAUGAUUAAGAACACGAGCUUUGGUGAUGACCUUCCCCUUCACUUACUAUUAACGUGAUCAUGGGGGAAAUUUACUUAACUUUACUUGGCACCAUCUAUCAAAUGGUAACAAUAACCUUAAUACCUACCUCAUAGAAAGGAUUAAAUGAGUAAAUCCAUUUAAAGUUCCUGGAACAGUGGUAGACACACAAUCAGGUUUCAUACAUGCUAAUUAUUACUAUUAUCCUGUAACAAGCACCCUUGAUGAUUUUUUAUAAUCAAGUUUGUGAUUCAAACUUGAUCAAGUUUGAAUCCAGUAUGAUCAAGUAAAUUCUUAAUCUGCUUUUUGCUCAGACCUAUGUCCUUGCUCAGACCUAAGUCCUCCUAGCUUUAGAGCUCUGUGUUGUCUUCCCCAAGUCAUGUAAGUCUUUCCAAUCUUUCUCCGGGGUACCAGGAACAGGUGUCUUACCUUGUUACCAUUUGUCCUUCAGUCAGAAUGGGCUGAUCGCUGAGAAUAGGGAUGAUGCUGUUGGCUUGAGGAACUCCCACUCUUCAAAUGGGGAAAAAGCAGUUUUCUGUAAUUGGGGCCCAGCUAUAGAAUCAGAAGUUCCUAAUUGUUUAAUGUAAUUCAGUGUUGAUAAUCAUUCAAACUUAGCCAAAGCUGCAAGGCUACUUUGGACGGUCUCUUAGAAGAGAGUUCCUUCUCUUAGGCACCUGCCCUCAGGGUUACCAAUUAUGUCAGUUUUCCUGGGACUGCCCUGAUUUUUUUACUGAAAGGCCCCGGUCGUAGGAAAGCCCUCAAUCCUGGGUAAACCAGGAUGGUUGGUCCCACUGUGCCUUAUAGUUACUGGGUUGGUUCUCCAGUUGACUGGGCAGGGCAUAACUGGGGUCUGAGCUCAGCCUUACUAACUUUCAGAGGUAGGAAGCUCAGACCAAGAGAGCCCCCUGACCCUCUUGGUUUAGGACACUCUGGUCUGAAAAAUAUACUAACACUUCCUGUUUACUAGGCUGACAUGGAGCAGAAUUAUACUGAUUGCCUCAUAGUAGGGACCUGAGGAAUUCUGCAUUAUGAUGCUUCAUGUAUGCACUCAGAACUGGUAUCCUCCAGUCUGCCAUGUUUUCUGAUGUGCAUAAUACCAAGAGCUAUAAAUAUCCAUUCUUCCCUGGGUCUGGAGAUUUGUAUGCUGAUUACAUUUCAGGUGGAAAAUGCAGAAGCACUUGCUUUCCUAUUUUCCCAGAAGAAGAGGUGUUGGAGGGAGAAAAUAAAGGAUCUAGGUUUUAUAGAGCUGUAGAAAUUACACAUGUUGCCAAGGUAAUUAAUCAACAUUCAAAGAUAACAUAAAAUCUCUUCCUGUGCCUGGACAUAUAUGCCUCAAACCCCAGUAGGUGUGAGUAAUAACAUCAAAAUGAAGGAAAUUACCUUAAAGAAAUUGCCUGAAUGGGACUGUUAUAAGAAGAGGUUAGGGCUUACUUAAUUAAAACACAGUUUAAUUAUUACUAUAUAGUAAGGAAAUGGAGUGAGUACCAUGCAAUCAUAUGGGAGUAUGAGAGGUUUGGAUCUUGUUGCAUAACAAUUUCACAUAGUUGGGGGUGGGAGUGGAGAAGGCAUGAUUAAAUACAGGAGCAGGCUGAUGAAUGAAUCAUUGGAGAAGUGCAUUUUAAACUAAAUGGAAAUGAGUCUAGAAAGAAUGGAGAAAUCAUUAUAAUUAUCAUUGUAUGGCCCUGUUAGGGAGAAGAGAGCAGGUGGUCUCUGGGUCAGAAUAAUAGCCCAAAGGCUGAGCUCUGGACUCUGCCUCUUUAGUGGGACCCUUGAUGCUCCUGGGUACAGGUCUGGGUAGUGAUACACCCUUUACUACAACAGCGCUGCUUGUAAAGACCCAGAGCUUCCUCUGUCCUUGGGCUUAUACCCUACUCCAAGCCACCACUUAAGUCCUGAGGUCUCCAGGAAGCCACAGAGCCCUGAUGCAAAAUCCACGUCAGGCUCCCCAUUCCCCUGCUUGAACCCCUGGCAAAGAUGUUCUUUUCCUAGAGCUUCUAGUUUUCUCAAAGAGAACCUCUCAUUUCUUACCUAACUCAAAAUGAAACUGUACAAUAAAACAGCAUAAAAGUAUCAGCAGGGGGAGAGAUUUGUCUGGUUCAUUUAAGAGAAUUGUCCAAAAUGAAGGAGAAUGAGAAAAGGAGAAAUUUCGUUAUCAAUUACAGUAUAUAUAUAUGUGUGUGUCUCUGUGUGUGUAUAAUUUAAAUAGAAUUUUAUGUUUAAAUGUAAUUUAAAUGUUAUACAUAAUUUAAAUUAGUUUAAAAUAAUUUCAAACCUAUCAGAAAGUUCAAGAAUAAUUGAGAGAAUUUUCACCUACCCUUUACCCAAAUUCACCAGUUGUUAAAAUUUUUGCCUCUUUCCUUUCUCCACACAAGCACAUACACACACUACACACACAUUAUUAUUAUUUAGAGCAGGUUGACUGAGUAUCACUGGGUUUAAUCCUUCAAUGUGUAUUUCCUGAGAAAAAAGUUAUUUACAAAACCAGAGUACAAUUAUAAAACUUGGAAAUUUAAUAUUGACUUUAUGAAGUACAAAUUUCAAUUUUGUCAUUUGUCCCCCAAAUGAGCUUUAGACCAUUUUUUUCCCCUCCAGCGAGGGUCAAGUAUCAUGUUAAAUUGUCUUGUCUCUUUAUUCUCCUUUAAUCUGGAUUGUUUUUCAGCCCUUAUCUUUCAUAAUAUUGGCAUUUUUUUUUGAAGAAAACAGGCCAGUUAUUUUAUAGAAUGUGCCUCUGUAUGAGUUUGUCUGCUGUUUCUUCAUGAUGAGAUGUAUUGGUUGUACACUGGAGGCCAAAAUAGCACAGAGCUGAUACUGUGUCCUUCUCAGGGUAUCGGAUCUAGAGGCACAGGAGACCCAUCUGCCCCUCAUUACUGAUGGUAAUUGUGAUCACCCAGUCAAGAUGUUAUACACUUUCCUCACUGUAUAAUUACUAUUUUCCCCUUGCAACUAAUAAACAUUCUGUAGGGAGACACAUAUACCAGAUAAUAUGUUCCUCAUCACACUCCCCUCAGAUUUAGCAUCUACUGAUGACUCUUUCCUGAAAUAAUCUUUAUUGUGAUCAUUGCAAACUAGUGGUUUUCAACUCCAUCACUCCCUACACAUUUUAUUGUUGGAAAGGUGUGAAGUGGUUAUGAAUCACUAUUUUUUUAAAUGAAUGGGCUACAUGGAUGAGCUGUCCCUUCAUAUGUAUGUAUUAGGUGUGUAUGUAUGUGUCUACCUAUCUACUUGCCUACCUAUCUAUCCACUCUCUAGUUAUCUAUCAUCAGUAUAGACUCAUGAUUUCCAUUUUAAACAAUAGAUUAUAAUUCAGUAGAGUUCUUAUUUAUUCAGAUGCUCAAAUUAGCCCAGAUUUAGCCAAUGAGAACCCCUUCAAAGUCGCUUUGGUAUUUAGGAAAAAGUAUCUGGCAACUAGGUGUGCUGAUUGCUUUUAGGUCCUUUUAGCAGUUAAUACUAGGAAAUAUAAGUAUUUUUAUAUUUGAAAUCAUAAUUUUGUUAUGUCUAUUUUCUGAUUUUCCCUUGUUUCUUACAAAAAAGUUAGUGUAGUAUAUAAAAUCUUAUACUUUUUUUAUUUAAUAAGAUAUCCUGGAAAUUAUUCCAUGUGAGUUUAUAAAGAUUUUCUCUGUUCUUUCUUCCAGCUGCAUAGUAUUCCUCUAUGUACAUGUUCCAUGGUACUUAACCAACUUCUUAGGCUUGGAUAUUUAGAUAAUUGCCAAAAAUUUGCAAUUACAAACAAUAAAUAACAUUAUGUUUGUGUAUUUUUUUUUAUUGUUGUGGGUGUAUCUUCAGGAUAAGUUGAAAGAAGUGAGGUUGUUGGAUUGAUUGAUAGAAGACCCUGCAAGACUGAAGCAGUGCUUGGAGUCGGAGAGGAGAGAGUCAGACAAUGUGCACAUUUAUUUCUUUGGAUUAAAGAGGAAGUGGAGAGUUUCUAUUUGGGAUGAUGAUAAAGUUUUGGAAAUGGUAGCCAUGAAUGUUGCACAGUAUUGUUGAAGCUGGAAAUUACCUAUGGAAGCUGAGUCACCUACCUCGCUCCUGGAGCCCGCUGGCUGUUUCCAAGGCCUUCUUCAUUAUUCAAACCACGACUCCAUCACAGGAAUACCCAAAGCAACAUUUGAUAGUUGUGGAAGAUUUUUACCCUCACAAGUCAUGAAUACUUUCUGUUUAUCGCUUACACUGAGGAUUUAUGACUAUCUAAGUGUUGUAUUUCCGAAGGGAAGCAUCCUAUCCUCAGACUCCCGGCUGUCACCGUCCUGACCUGCCACCUGUGUCACAUCCCAUCAAGUGCUGUGGAUGAGCCAGGUACCAGUAAACCAGCCCCCGAGGCUGGAGAAAUGUUGGAUGUAGAUGCUCACAGAAUCAUUCAUCAAAUCUUGGAAGCUUCGGAGAGAAGUGCGUAAAAUGAAAAUUUAGUUCCAGAGAAAUAGAGCCUCAAUUUAAUACCAUCUACCAAAGCACUGCCACGUCUGUCAUCUUGGGAUGAGGUCAGAGAUCCUAAAUCAAGAGAGGAUGAAGGCUCUCCUGGCGGGGGUGGCCCCAGGGUCUGGAGCAUGCCCAGGUGAACACCUGAGAUAAAUAUGACAAAGUCACUUGCUCCAGAUCAUGUUUGAAAGUGAAGCAUAUAACUUCUACAUUCUUAUCAUGUCAAGCUGCCCGCCAGCCAUGCCAUGAAACUUCCUUCAAAGAGAACCAGUUGUCUCUCCUCUGAUGCGUUGGAAAGAGGGGUCACUCUGUUGGCCAAAUACCCCAAUUCCCUUCUGGAGCUCUCCAACUCUCUGUUAACUUGGACCUCUUCCAGUGGACCAAACAUUUGGUAUAAAUGGAACUCUCAAGAAGAGGAAAUAAAAGAAUUAAACACACUUUCCAGGCUGUGUUAUAGGUUUCUGUACAGAUAAAAACACUUCAAAUUCAAAAGCAACUUUGAUACUAAAAAACAGGACAAUUACCACAGAGAAAAGGGCAUUUGUGUAAUAGCUGAAAAUCUGGGAAGCAUUUAUCCGCAUCCAUGUUUUGGCCUCAGGAGGACCUAAAUUGCAAAGGAACUCAUCACACAGUGAUCUGAUAGAACAUCCAGCUCCCACAGAAAGAAAAAUUCUUGUGUUCUCUGGGUUUGUGUAGUAUCAGUACUAAUAAAGAAUGAAUGAAAGUUGACAUC
rnacentral:lncRNA from 1 species